rnacentral:lncRNA from 1 species
GAGGCUGCAGCGCGAAAGCGGAUGGUGACACGCAGUGGCAUGGUGUGGCGCUGUGGCCUGACUCGGAGCGCUGCGCUGGGCUCAUUUAGAACAAGAACUAAAGCCAGGCCCGGAUAGCGCUACCGGGGCAGGAGGAGGAGAACGCCAGCCUGCAGCCGCUACUCGCGGUCGGUCCUCAAGCCGAGCGGAUCGAAGCGGCCAGCUUACGUGGCUUCUGCAAACUUGGACGCCUGUAGUUGCCGCAUCCCUCCGUGAAUCCAUGAAAGCUGGUCGCACCACACUCACCUAACAUG